UUAUCGAACCUUGUAUUAUUGCAUCAUGAUUGUGGACUUAAAAUGGAAAACUCGCGUACCAAAAAUUUUUCUUCUGAAGAAAUAGAAAGUCUUAUGUGCCUUAUACGACAACAUGCCCACAUUUUGGAAAAUAAAUCGACAGAUAAAGUGAAACCUGCUUAGAAGGAAAAGGAAUGGGAGAAAGUGGAGGAAAGCUUCAACGCAAUGUGUCCGGGCCAAAAAAGAAGUGCACGCGCUUUGCGAACAAAUACGCAAAUUUAAAAUGGGAAAUGCGGAAGCGCAGUGCUCAAAAGAAACAAUCUUUAUAUGGAACCGGUGGUGGCCCUCCGCUAAAACACAACAUUUGGAGUGUGAUAUUGUUGACCAGGCUUUAAAAGAAAUUUUACCGGAAAAUCAGACCGACGGUUUGAAGUCAUCGUAUGCGAAGUUUUAGAUGACGAUAUCUUUGUAAUAGAUCCAAUUGGAACAGACGAUUUGGCGCUGCAACAAAAUGAAGCAAAAUUGUUUGAUGAAGGUGCAUACAUACAUAUGUAAAAUCAAUUUUAUUCGUGUAAAUAUAUGAUUUAUGUUUUUCUUAUAACCCU